rnacentral:rRNA from 1 species
CGUAGGUGGCAAGCGUUGUCCGGAAUUAUUGGGCGUAAAGCGCGCGCAGGCGGUUCCUUAAGUCUGAUGUGAAAGCCCCCGGCUCAACCGGGGAAGGUCAUUGGAAACUGGGGAACUUGAGUGCUGAAGAGAAGAGCGGAAUUCCACGUGUAGCGGUGAAAUGCGUAGAGAUGUGGAGGAACACCAGUGGCGAAGGCGGCUCUUUGGUCUGUAACUGACGCUGAGGCGCGAAAGCGUGGGGAGCAAACAGGAUUAGAUACCCUGGUAGUCCACGCCGUAAACGAUGAGUGCUAAGUGUUAGAGGGUUUCCGCCCUUUAGUGCUGCAGCUAACGCAUUAAGCACUCCGCCUGGGGAGUACGGCCGCAAGGCUG